rnacentral:other from 1 species
ACCAACCCCGACUGCCCGUGGGUGGGUAUGUGUUUUGAGCCAACACGGUUUCGCUGGGAGCCCUGCUCUUACGAGUUGAGCUAUGCGGCGGGCCGCAGAUGCUCACAGGCGGGCACCCACCUGCUUCCUGCAGGUUCGAAACUGGCCCACUCACGGCAGCCCGGGGCACCU